rnacentral:rRNA from 1 species
UACGGGGGGAGCAAGCGUUGUUCGGAUUUACUGGGCGUAAAGGGCGCGUAGGCGGUCAGCACAAGUCAGUUGUGAAAUCUCCGGGCUUAACCCGGAAAGGUCAACUGAUACUGUGCGACUAGAGUGCGGAAGGGGCAACUGGAAUUCUCGGUGUAGCGGCGAAAUGCGUAGAUAUCGAGAGGAACACCUGCGGCGAAGGCGGGUUGCUGGGCCGACACUGACGCUGAUGCGCGAAAGCCAGGGGAGCGAACGGG